CAGCUCUGCUCCAGUGUCCUGCUCCUAUUUUCUCUGCUUUGAUAGAGGGACAAGAAAUAAAAGACACCAACAUUGGGUCCAGUUCUCCUAAAAAGAAGGCUGGCCUACACAACUCUCAAGGACAGUACCCUUUCCAAGAGGUCCACUCAGCUGGUUAAUGUGAGAAACUGAGAAAGAAGAGAGAGAAGAUUUACAUGUGGAACUUGGGUGAGACUUUGGUACACUGGACUCCAAUCAAUCCAUCAGACUUUUGCUUUCAGAUUCUGGGAAAUAUAUGUAAGAUAUGUAGACUGGAGAUUUGGGAGAGCAUUUUUGCCUAACAAGCAAAGUGGUUAAUUUGAUGUGUUGAAAAAACACAAAGCCCCUGAAAUGAAAGACUGAUUAUCAUUACCAAUAAUCUUCGGUUUACUCUAUCCUUUUCCUAGUUGUGUGUUGUGUGAUCCCAACCAGAAGAAAAACAUUCAAGUACACAAAAACAGAUCGGCCUACCGCUCAGGAUGACUUUUGUUACCAUGGCAAUGCUAAUCCCUACCCUAGCUCUUCUGGUCUUGCCCGGCUCAGGUCUGGGAUGCGUAACACAUCUGGACAGGAUGAGGACUGCUAUACUAUUAGGCACAGACACUAAACUAAAUUGGAGUUACAGCCAGGAUAUCUGUAGAAAUGAUUACACUGAUCUUGUCACUAUAUAUAACGACGAAGAUAGUAGAAAACUACUAGUACUAGUAGGGCCAGGGGGUUGGUUUGGUCUCGAGAAAGGAGAUUAUACAUAUAAAUGGUCAAAUGGUGAUCCUUUUAUUUAUAAACCAAAUCCUCUAAAUUCUCCAAAUCCUCCGGUCUGUGUGGCUAUGACGGCAAAUGGGGCAUGGGACACAUUGAUGUGCAACCAAAGCAGAUCAUUCAUCUGUUACAGUGAUGAACCUGUUAAUUCCUCCGUGAAUCAUCAGAUCAACAUUACAAAGACUUGGUUUAAUGCUCAAAACUAUUGCAGAACUCACUUCACUGACCUGGUCAGCAUCAGAAACGAUGAGCAGAACAAAGCUGUACUGAAAAAGAAGUCACACACAGACCCUACCUGGAUUGGUUUGAUAGGAGACAGUUGGGAGUGGUCUGAUGGCGGACUGUCAGGAUAUAGGAGCUGGAGUGGGGAUACACAUCACAAUGAAAAUCUGGCAUAUUUGAGUACAGGUGGAUGGGGAACAAACAAUAAACCAACAAAUGAAAAGGCAUACUUCUGCUACAAAGGUAUAUAUUUGAACAUAUUUAGAC